GAACGUAAGAGUUUGAUCCUGGCUCAGAUUGAACGCUGGCGGCAUGCCUUACACAUGCAAGUCGAACGGGGACCAGGGGCUUGCCCCUGUUUCUAGUGGCGAACGGGUGAGUAGCGCAUCGGAACAUGCCCGGACGAGGGGGACAGCCCGGCGAAAGCCGGAUUAAUACCGCAUACGCCCCGAGGGGGAAAGCGGGGGACCGCAAGGCCCCGCGCGUCCGGAUUGGCCGAUGCCGGAUUAGCUAGUUGGGGGGGUAAAGGCCCACCAAGGCGACGAUCCGUAGCGGGUCUGAGAGGACGAUCCGCCACACUGGGACUGAGACACGGCCCAGAC
rnacentral:rRNA from 1 species